rnacentral:tRNA from 1 species
GUCCAGAGACGGGAAUCUAACCCACAGUGUUCCGUUUACCGGGCAGAUGCCAUGUCCACUAAGAUACCCUGAA